GUUUACAAAAAAACACUAAAAGACAUUCAUUUUCAUCACUAGAUGGCACAUUUUCUUUGACAUGUACAUCCCACACCUAUUUUAAUCUUGAGGGGACAGUUUCUAGAGGAAAGAGAAGUGCCUCAUUUAAUCUUACAUUGUUACAAAAAGAGAAGGGGGAGAUUUAGAAUAUGUUAACUACUUCAUCUUCUUAAUGUCACACAGUUAUAAAAAAGAAAAAGAGACAAUUUUAUAAAUAGAUUUGGUUGCUAUGAUUUUGUGGCAUAUCCCAUCUUCAAGUAGAAGUAAUGUGUAUCUCCUAUUAAAAAAGUCUGACACAUAAUGAAAUGGGGGAUUCUCUUCUUUUUGGUAGUCCUCGUAUGGUGCCACCAUCGUUCUUGCUUGGCUUCCACUUUAAUCCAUCUAACCCACAUCAACAUCUCUACCUCAAAUGGAUCAAAUGAAAUAUUCCUCUUGAUAUUGUUACAUCCCAUGGUAUCAUAGAAUGGAGUCUCUUUCCUAUUCUAAAUUCUCAUCUUAAUUUUUCUUCUUACCAAUUUAUUUUGAAAUAUUUGUCUUGCUCACUUUAAAUCUUGUGUUUGUUCCAUUGCCUCAACCCCUUUUUAGACUACCUUCAUAAACUUUCACUCUCACUUUACUAAACAAAAAAACCUUAAAGCCUCACUUCAUUCAUUCCUACAAUGGACGAGUUUCAGACACCACUUUCCACAACAAUAACAAAGCCAACCACCACUAUAGCCACCACUGCUUCACGGGUAAGCCACUCACAACAAAACAUGGGUCAUCCCCAAAAUGUUCUCUCUUCCGAACUUGGGGCCACAAUUUAUGCAUAUGAACCAGCCUCUUGGUGGAUAUCCCAUGUGUUUCGUUCCCUUGGAGCAAAGUAAUGUUACUAUCUCCAUCAGGCUAAAAUAUGGAAGAGGUUUAGGACAAAGAUGUAGAAGAUGUUACCCACUGCUAAAGAAGCUGUGUGUUUCACUGGCUCAUACAAUUAAAGAACUCAUUCGCAUGUUGCUAAAAAGUCCUGUAGAAGGCCCCACAUCCCUCUUUGUCCAAAUCUUUGCACCUCACAAACAUCCAUGUUUUUUUUUGCUUCCUCACGACCUGCACCAUCAAGUUUGUUAUUUUCCCAACUUUAUAUUAAUGUAUUGAUUUGUUUAUUUAUUUAUGUUUGCAAACCUGUUAGGAAAUAACAAUAGGCCAAAAAACUAGCAUGAGUCCUAAUUAUCAUUACAUAUAAUGUUACAAAGUGUGACUAAAUAAGUAAUUUUAUGGGAAGAAGGUCUACGACAAAUACUGCCUCAAAGCUAUUAGUUCUAUAUGAAAAAUAAAAAUGAUUUUAUCUCCUAAAUGAAUUUUAUGGAUUUUUUAUAGUAAGGUCAUGAUUCGAGUCAUCUCUAACUUCUCUGAAAAUGAGAAAAAAGGUCUAUGCCUCAAAGCUAUUAAUUUCAUAUAAAAAUAAUUCAAAACUAUCUUACCACUUACUGAAUUUUACGGAUUUUUAUAGUAAGGUCAUGGUUUGAGACAUCUCUAACUUCUCUAAAAAUGGGAAGACACCGUCUCUAAGCUAUUAGUUCCAUUGAAUUAAAACAAUGAUAUAUUAUAAAUAUUUCAAAAUCAAUUGAAAUCAACUCCACCAAAUCCAUCGAUAUUUUCCAAAUCAACAAAAGUCAACCGAACUAAUCUAAUCAUUUUCAAACCAGAACUAAGUAGUCUUGAUUUCUCUAUUGGAUCUAGAGAUACGUAGGAGCACGAAUACUUUAGAGCGUGGAAUCACCACAUGUGGUCAUGUCAGCACUUAACGUGCCACCUGAUCAACUCUAUUAAUGUUAACAAACGGGUGAAGAAUGAAGGGCUGAUGUGGUUCUGUUUUGAAAUUUUUUUGGACCAAACUGGUUAUUUAUAUUUAUUAGGAACUAAGUUAGUAACAUAAAGAAUUCAUGUACUGAAAUGAGAGUUAUAUUCAUUUUUAUAUAUAAUUAAACUUCAAUUUUAUAGAUGAUUAUACUUACUAGAACAAUGGUUCCACAUUUUGCCUAAUUGGGAUUGAGUUGAAAACCAAUAGUUGUAACACCACUGCACUGCGUAACAAAUGCAUCAAGAUAGAAUUCCUAGUUGAUGAUAAAACCUAGUACAAGAGAUAUAUUCCAUUAUUCCAAUUUCUUGAAUAAUAUAAAUAAAAUGAAGUAUAUAUAAAAUAAUAGUCUAAAUGAAUCUAUACAUCUUUUUUCAGUAAAAAAAUCUUCUUCAUUAUGAAAUAUUAAUCCUUUGAACCACUCAAAUGAACUUAUACAAGCUAGUGGCACUCUUUAUUAUUCGGUAUUUAUUCUGAAUUUAAUAAAGUUAAAAGAUAAAAUUUAUACAAUAUUGACAAAUUUUUAAUUAAAAUUUUAAAAUAAUUAAGUUUUUAAUUCAUUUUGUAUUACUUCAUAUUACAGUACACCCUUUUUAAUUUGAAUAUUUACAUGAUUAAUAUUUGAUAAUAUUAAUUUUUGAAAAUAUGAAUCACAUUACUAUGGUGAUAACUUCAUUUUAAUUGUUGUAAAACUUUACUUAAAAUAUCAUUAUUAUAUUGCAAAAUAUAUUUUUAUUUCCCAAAAUAAAAUCCAUUACAAACUUAUUAAAACAAGUAACCUAUGAAAUAAACAAUUUCAGAUAAAUAUUAAAUUCACAUAUAAAAUAGAGUAAAAAAGUAAAUACAUCACAAUAUAGUAAGUUAUUUAAAUAAAGAAAUGGUAGAAUUAAGAAGAAAUGAUGGAAUAUGGUUACCUGGAUUAUUUAUGCACAAAGGAGCAGCCCUCAAAGAGAAACCAAAUAAAAAAAAAUUGAACUAGGAAAAACUCGG
rnacentral:lncRNA from 1 species